GAUAUUACCGAGUAUGUACCAAAAUACCCCCUAAAUCCUAGCGUUAGCAGGCGAAGCCAAAAUAACCGACGCCCCAAAACACACCGCGCCGGUCCAUUUCCUCUUUCCCUGUUCCCAGCCGGUCAUCCCCCUCUCAACCCUCAGGCUCAGCUGUCCCUCCCUUGGCUCCUUCGUCCCUCUGCUGUCCUCCACAUUCCGAACCCUAACCGCCACCCGCCCCAACUCCACCGUCGAUUGAGGAGCGACGACGAUGAUUUGGCUGUAGUGACGACCUCAUCACUCUACGGAAGAGGUCAUGGCUACCAAGAAGAUAAUUGCAAUAUGUCAGUCUGGAGGUCAGUUUAAAACUGACAAAGAUGGUUGUUUGUCAUAUAAAGGCGGUGAUGCUCAUGCUAUUGACAUUGAUGAUCAAAUGAAAUUCAACGAGUUCAAAGGGGAAGUAUCAGAAAUGUUUAAUGUCAAUGCUGAUAGCAUGUCCGUAAAAUAUUUCCUUCCCGGAAAUAGGAAGAUUCUUAUUUCAAUUUCCAAUGACAAGGAUCUCCAAAGAAUGGUUAAGUUUCAUGGGGAUUCGAGUAUUGUUGACAUCUAUAUCCUUAUAGAUGAGCUAGUUGCCCAUGAGGUGUCAAACAACAUGCCUGCCAGUAGGUCAAGCAGAACUACUUUGUCUGAAACAAUGGUGCCAAUCAAUACCUCUCCAACACUUGAUGUUAUGCAUGAUGUCAUAGAUGACACCAUCCAGCCAAUGAUUCCAAUCGAUGCUCCACCUGACGGUGUUGAUGAUAGCAAUCAAAUGGAUAUGCAUAUAGACAUUCCUAUUGAAGUUUCUCGUGUUCUCCCCAUUGAAUCCUCAAAUGAUGAAAAGCGUGCUAAAGGGGCACAACAAUGGCAGAAUACUAUAACGGGUGUGGGUCAAAGGUUCAACAGUGUACAUGAGUUUCGGGAAUCAUUGCGGAAAUAUGCAAUUGCUCACCAAUUUGCCUUUAAAUAUAAAAAAAAUGAUAGCCAUCGUGUGACUGUCAAAUGUAAAGCAGAAGGUUGCCUUUGGAGAAUCCAUGCGUCAAGAUUGUCAACUACUCAGUUGAUAUGUAUCAAGAAAAUGCAUCCAACUCAUACUUGUGAAGGGGCUGUGGGAACGACAGGGCAUCAAGCAACUAGGAGUUGGGUGGCCAGUAUAAUAAAGGAGAAACUGAAAGCUUAUCCUAACUAUAAGCCCAAGGAUAUUGUUAAUGACAUCAAACAAGAAUAUGGAAUUCAGCUUAACUACUUCCAGGCUUGGCGGGGGAAGGAGAUUGCAAGGGAGCAGCUUCAGGGUUCAUAUAAAGCAGCAUAUAGUCAGUUACCUUUCUUUUGUGAGAAAAUAAUGGAGGCCAAUCCCGGAAGUCUAGCUUUGUACACUACAAAGGAAGACUCAAGCUUCCAUCGUCUCUUUCUAUCAUUUCAUGCUUCUUUGCAUGGUUUCCAACAGGGUUGCCGACCGUUGAUUUUCCUUGAUAGCAUUCCAUUGAAGUCAAAAUACCAAGGAACCUUGUUAGCAGCAACAGCUGCCGAUGCUGAUGAUGGUGUAUUCCCUGUUGCUUUUGCCAUUGUUGAUGCUGAAUCUGAUGAUAACUGGCAUUGGUUUUUACUUCAGCUCCAAUCAGUGCUGUCAACAUCUUGUCCCAUAACGUUUGUUGCAGGCAGUGAGCACAGGCUAAAAGAUUCAAUUGCCGAGAUAUUUGAAGGCUCGUUUCAUGGAUACUGCCUCCGAUACUUAACUGAGCAACUAUUUAGAGACUUGAAAGGACAGUUUUCUCAUGAGAUAAAACGAUUAAUGGUCGAGGAUUUAUAUGCUGCUGCUUAUGCAGCCAAACCUGAAGGCUUCCAAACCAGUUUGGAUAACAUUAAAAGUAUUUCUGUAGAUGCUUAUAAUUGGAUUGUGCAAAGUGGACCUGAGAAUUGGGCGAAUUCAUUUUUUCAGGGUACUAGGUAUAAUCACAUGACAUCAAACUUUGGUGAACUGUUCUAUAGUUGGGCUUCAGAUGCAGAUGAAUUACCAAUAACACAGAUGGUUGAUGUGAUAAGAAGUAAGAUCAUGGAGUUGAUUGCUGCCAGAAGAGAAGCAUCUGAUCAAUGGGUGACUAGGCUGACUCCAUCCAUGGAGGAAAAGCUUAGUGCGGAAAGCCGGAAAGCUCAUUCACUUCAAUUUGUAUUAUGUGGCAGCAGCACGUAUGAAGUUUGCGGUGACACCAAUGAGGUGGUCGAUCUUGACCGAUGGGAAUGUAGUUGUAAAGCCUGGCAGCUGACUGGUAUACCAUGCUGCCAUGCUAUUGCUGUUAUCAGUGGUAUCAACCGGAGUGUGUAUGAUUUUUGCUCUAGAUUUUUCACAAGCGAGAUAUAUAGAUUGACUUAUUCAGAGGCUGUGCUGCCAAUUCAAUAUGUAGAUGCGCCUGCUGCAAAAGAUUCUCAGCUUUUGGUAACAGUUACACCCCCUUCUACCCGACGACCACCAGGCCGACCGGCAACAAAGCGAUAUGGCUCCGAAGAUGUAGUCAAGCGCCAACUCCAAUGCAGCCGAUGCAAAGGAUUAGGGCACAACAAGUCCACUUGCAAGGAGCAAUCAUAGUGUUAGAUACCCUAGGUGUAGAAGAUUCGAUCUUGUAUCUAGUUCACUGCCCUUACUGUCUUUCACUCCACUCUAUUGAGAAUUAAUUUAACUAUUUUUCUUCUAAUUUUCUUGACAGAGUUUCAGCACAUUAUGGGCGGCACGGGGAACUCUUGAAUGGACUGCAAAAAAUAAAUUGUUCAAUGAAAUAAGGGAAACAUGCUAGUUUUAUGGUAGCCAAAACUAGCCAUGAUUCUUUCUGCGGGUGUAUUAUUACUAAAAUUCUAGUCUUAAGAACUAUUAGCGAACUUGUACAACUUUGAUGGCCAAGGAUUUGGCGUCCUUUUCUGAAGGAUGGCGACAGAGGGGAAAAAAAAAAAAAAAAAGAGCAACGGAAACAAGAGAGACUGUGGAAACAAUAAGACAGAGAUAAGGGAUUGAUAGUUAUUUUCCCGGAGAUUCAACAAUAAAACUCUAGUUUCGGCAAAGCUUGCUGCCACUGAAGACCUUUCCUAGCAAAAAAAAUCCUUUCGACAACCUUAGGGAAUAACUCCGGCGACAGCUCUUCCUCUUUCGUUCUUGGUUGCAUGAUUGUCGACGAUGAGGAAAUGACUAGUGAGUACCUAUUAAUCUUCUUCGGUUCUUCCUCAUUCAUUUUCUUUCCUUCCUUCCACUUCCUCUCUCAAAAUCCAUGACUUUUCUUUUUUUUUUUUGUUAAAGAACGAUUACAAUGGACUCCGUAACCUAGAACAGUGAAUAAUUUCAGAUUAUGAACUGGAUUAACACUUUCAACAUUUGUUCGCAUUUGAGUUUUUGUUGUAACAUAUUUGAAAAUCAAUUGUUUUUGGAGGAUUAACAUGUAUGUCAGAGAACCUAUUGGGGGAAAAUGAUGGUGUUGCUAAUGAAGAAAUUGAUGUGAAUGACUCAAAUAUUUAUCUUGAGUUGGAAGAUUUGUUUACUAGGCCAACAGAUUGGGUUGGUUCUGCAUCUGCUGGUGGCUUGGUGGGGCAAACUAGUUGAAUCUUUACAUAAAUGAAUGCGUUGACAAUGGUUGCAAGAGGGUGUUUGCGCACAUCUCUACUACAACCGAAAGGAAAAGAGCUCAAUAUUUUAAGGCUCUUUAAUUGCUAGCUUCAAAAGCAGUGACCACAUGACUCCGAUGCUUGCGCCAGUUCCUUGUGUUUCCUUUGUUUGCUUGGUAGUAGGACUCAGUUAUUGGUUUCUCCUGCGUGUAGGAAUUUGCAUAUGAGCCUCUUCAUACCUUAGCCUCGUAUGUUGAAGCAGUUCCUAAUUAAUAAUCUCUGGUGUAAUAUACUAGAGAAUGCUUUUGUAAAAUUUUAGUAGCUUGGUUUAUCAAAGAAGGAUGUAAUAGGAAAUGAAAACAACGCUAACUAGUUUAAGUGGCUACUGCUGCACAAGUAAACCUCCAUCUUCAUUGUAAUAGUGCGACAAAUGUAACACAGGAAAAGAAUUUACG